UACAGAGGUCCCAAGCGUUGUUCGGAUUCAUUGGGCGUAAAGGGUGCGUAGGUGGGUAGGUAAGUCAGUGGUGAAAUCUUCGAGCUUAACUCGGAAACUGCCAUUGAUACUAUUUAUCUUGAAUACUCUGGAGGUAAGCGGAAUAUGUCAUGUAGCGGUGAAAUGCUUAGAUAUGACAUAGAACACCAAUUGCGAAGGCAGCUUACUACAUAGUUAUUGACACUGAGGCACGAAAGCGUGGGGAUCAAACAGG
rnacentral:rRNA from 1 species